CGUAGGUGGCGAGCGUUGUCCGGAUUUACUGGGCGUAAAGGGAGCGUAGGCGGUCUUUUAAGUGGGGUGUGAAAUCCCCUGGGCUUAACCCAGGAAUUGCAUUCCAUACUGGGAGACUAGAGUGCAGGAGAGGAAAGUGGAAUUCCAAGUGUAGCGGUGAAAUGCGUAGAGAUUUGGAGGAACACCAGUGGCGAAGGCGACUUUCUGGACUGUAACUGACGCUGAGGCUCGAGAGCGUGGGGAGCAAACAGGAUUAGAUACCCUGGUAGUCCACGCUGUAAACGAUGAAUACUAGGUGUUGGGGGCGAAGCCCUCAGUGCCGCAGUUAACACAUUAAGAUUCCGCCUGGGGAGUACGGAUCGGCAAGAUUA
rnacentral:rRNA from 1 species